CAGCUGGCUACCAAUAUGACCUUCACGAAUCAGUCUCCUUCCUCUGAGCUUCUGGGUCUUACCCUUAAAGUGAGGCCACAGAACUAGUCCACAGGGAACCUUCCAGUUCUGGUAUUCCAGGAAUCACUGGGAUCUCUGCCUAUGCAAACCAAAGUUUCCUGUGUUGUUUUGAUUUUGCCUCCUGCUGGUAUGUUAUUUCAGAGUGAGUUUGGGUUUGACUAGUACCUGGUGUUUUUCUUUUAUGUAUGGAGAUCUGAGUGAAGGUAAAGAGAACCUUGUUCUCAGGUGAUAUUCAGUACAUGUUUGCAGAAUGAAUAAGUUACACUAAUUAGGAUGAAAUAGAAUGUUGCUCUGAAUACGAAACCUGGGUCCAAUCUCGGUGCAUUGCUCCUCCUCACCUAGAGCUCUCCUGCCCACUUCUCCAAUUUCUGUGGAAACCGUGGCAGCUCUGGCGUCUGAAUGCUGUCAGAUGAAGUAAGAGGAUUGCCCCAAGCAGAUGCUUUGCCUCUGGACUUUUUUGCAGAAGUUUUUCUUGCCCCAUAUAAAUAAACUGAGUCCCGGCUGCUCCGC
rnacentral:lncRNA from 1 species